GGAUGUGACGGCAAUCUAGCCGUGACAUCUGUCACCCCAUUGAUCACCAGGGUUGAUUCUACUGACCUGGCUAGCUAGGCAGGUGUCCCCUUCCUCCCUCAGUGCUCCAUGUGUGUCCCUCCCAAAGUUGUGAGCUCGGUCAAAGAGGAUGACCUUCCCCAAUAGAGGAGAGGAAAAUUCUUCAGUCAAGGGUAUAUGAGUAGCUGCACUCCCCUGCUAGAACCUCUAAACAAGCUCUCAAAAAGUAGCAUCAUUAUUAUCUUUAUUAUUACUAUAAUUUAUUUUUGUCCUUAAGUUAGCAAAGUGCAAUAUUUGACAUUGAGGUCACUGGUGGAAAUGGGGCUUCAGCU
ensembl:misc_RNA 7SK 7SK RNA